GCCCAUUAAAAGUCCAUUUACAAACAAAGCUACCAACCCAAUUACAACCCAAAAAUUAAAACCUAAAAGAAGCCCAAAAGCUUAGAAACCCUAGCCCACAACCUAUUUUCGGAAAUUAGAAACUCUAGCCGCAAGCCUCAACCACCCACUUCCAACCACUACCAAGUGGCACAUGCCUCCACCACCGUUUGCCUGCCAUACAAGAAGAAGAAAAGAUAACAAAUAUAUAUAAUAAAGUUUGUAAAUGGCUAUAAAGGCCAUACUAGAACGGAUUGUAAGGGGGGGAUCGAUGGUAUUUUUAGGAAGAAUCGAUUGUAUUUUGGGGAGAGAAGAGAUUGUAUUAGAGGGGGUUGUAUUACAGACACUUUUGGGAGAAAUCAAAAGGAGAAAACAAGUUCAAAAGGUGUUUGUCCUUAUUUUUAUUUUUUUGAUCUUCUUUCUAUUCGUUCGUUUUAUCUAUUUUACAAAUAUUUUUAACAAAGAAAAAAACUUGUAAAAAAUAUAAAAAAAAAGAGAAAGAGGGAAGGAUCUUACCGGUGUUCAGUUUUUCAACAUCGUGGACGACCGAGGAAGCCACCGCCGAGGAUCGGUGGCCGGAAACCGAAUGGAU
rnacentral:lncRNA from 1 species